GAUGAACGCUGGCGGCGUGCCUAAUACAUGCAAGUCGAGCGAACAGAUGAGGAGCUUGCUCCUCUGACGUUAGCGGCGGACGGGUGAGUAACACGUGGAUAACCUACCUAUAAGACUGGGAUAACUUCGGGAAACCGGAGCUAAUACCGGAUAAUAUAUUGAACCGCAUGGUUCAAUAGUGAAAGACGGUUUUGCUGUCACUUAUAGAUGGAUCCGCGCCGCAUUAGCUAGUUGGUAAGGUAACGGCUUACCAAGGCAACGAUGCGUAGCCGACCUGAGAGGGUGAUCGGCCACACUGGAACUGAGACACGGUCCAGACUCCUACGGGAGGCAGCAGUAGGGAAUCUUCCGCAAUGGGCGAAAGCUUGACGGAGCAACGCCGCGUGAGUGGUGAAGGUCUUCGGAUCGUAAAACUCUGUUAUUAGGGAAGAACAAAUGUGUAAGUAACUAUGCACGUCUUGACGGUACCUAAUCAGAAAGCCACGGCUAACUACGUG
rnacentral:rRNA from 1 species